CAGUCGAACGAAACUUCUUUAUCACCGAGUGCUUGCACUCACCGAUAAAGAGUUGAGUGGCGAACGGGUGAGUAACACGUGGGCAACCUGCCCAAAAGAGGGGGAUAACACUUGGAAACAGGUGCUAAUACCGCAUAACCAUAGUUACCGCAUGGUAACUAUGUAAAAGGUGGCUAUACUACCGCUUUUGGAUGGGCCCGCGGCGCAUUAGCUAGUUGGUAGGGUAAAGGCUUACCAAGGCAAUGAUGCGUAGCCGAAUUGAGAGGUUGAUCGGCCACAUUGGGACUGAGACACGGCCCAAACUCCUACGGGAGGCAGCAGUAGGGAAUCUUCCACAAUGGGCGAAAGCCUGAUGGAGCAACGCCGCGUGGGUGAAGAAGGUCUUCGGAUCGUAAAACCCUGUUGUUAGAGAAGAAAGUGCGUGAGAGUAACUGUUCACGUUUCGACGGUAUCUAACCAGAAAGCCACGGCUAACUACGUGCCAGCAGCCGCGGUAAUACGUAGGUGGCAAGCGUUAUCCGGAUUUAUUGGGCGUAAAGGGAACGCAGGCGGUCUUUUAAGUCUGAUGUGAAAGCCUUCGGCUUAACCGGAGUAGUGCAUUGGAAACUGGGAGACUUGAGUGCAGAAGAGGAGAGUGGAACUCCAUGUGUAGCGGUGAAAUGCGUAGAUAUAUGGAAGAACACCAGUGGCGAAAGCGGCUCUCUGGUCUGUAACUGACGCUGAGGUUCGAAAGCGUGGGUAGCAAACAGGAUUAGAUACCCUGGUAGUCCACGCCGUAAACGAUGAAUGCUAAGUGUUGGAGGGUUUCCGCCCUUCAGUGCUGCAGCUAACGCAAUA
rnacentral:rRNA from 1 species